rnacentral:sRNA from 4 species
ACGGUCGAGUUGACCGUCGGGAUUGAGACCCCGGAUAGAAACCGCGACAGACACACGCCGCGAGCGUGUUUUUU